UCUCUGCAGAGGACUCUUCUCAAGGCCCUGUCUCCCAACCCUUGUACCAGUGCUGUGCCUCAGACCCUGGUACAGGCCUGGGGGACAGGGACUUGGGGACCCCAGCAGCAGCAACUC
rnacentral:pre_miRNA from 14 species